GGACCCGCACAAGCGGUGGAGUAUGUGGUUUAAUUCGAUGCAACGCGAAGAACCUUACCAGGGUUUGACAUCCUGCGAAUCUCUUGGAAACGAGAGAGUGCCUUCGGGAGCGCAGUGACAGGUGGUGCAUGGCUGUCGUCAGCUCGUGUCGUGAGAUGUUGGUUAAGUCCCGCAACGAGCGCAACCCACGUCUUUAGUUGCCAGCAUUUAGUUGGGCACUCUAGAGAGACCGCCGGUGAUAAACCGGAGGAAGGUGUGGAUGACGUCAAGUCAUCAUGCCCCUUACAUCCUGGGCUACACACGUGCUACAAUGGUAGGUACAGAGGGAAGCCACCCCCGCGAGGGGGAGCGGA
rnacentral:rRNA from 1 species